GAUCAAACCCUAAUGCUGCGACGUCUUGGGAGUUUGGCGAUGUUGUGCGUAGCAUGGACGACAAAAUGCUAUGCUGCAACGUUUCAGUGCCAAUGUGUCUGUUGGAGAGUUAUCCCUGACAGGGGAUCUGUUACUCCCCCCUAGACACCCAGGAAGAUUUGCCGUUGCUUGACAACAGUUUGAGGCAGGAUAAAGAGCUCCAGCAACGAUUUCUUCGGUUUUUGGCAAUCAAAUGUGGGAGGGACCUAAAGACAACCGUGUGGCGAAUGCUUCAGAGUAUCUUCUCUAAUCACCUUUCCAUCAAUACAACCUGGACUGGUGUAGGGGAUAAAGCAUGUUUUAGAGACAUGUUCCUGAAGACAUUGUUCAAAGAGCCAUCCGGAAGAACCCGGCAACACAGGAUGCCACUGAUGAGGCGAUCCAGGUUAACGUUACGCGUUACCUGAAAGGAGCAUCUGAACAUGAAGGUGGAAAAAGGCGCCGCACAGCUGAGAGGGACCCACAGCCGACCCCUUAAACCUAGGCUGACUACUGACACCCCAGCAUCACUGACAACUGGAACCCUUUCUUUAUCCUGCAGUCAGUAACAUCAA